UUUGCGCUCAUUCUUGCUCCCGCGUCAGCUCUCUUUUUCUCUCUCUCGCUUCCUCUUCUGUCGAACUCAUUCUCACUCUCUCUGAAAAAGGGAUUCAUCAUCAACAACGUUCAUUUCUGGGCAGCUAAGAGAAACUCCUCUUCUCUCUUUCACUCUCUUCCCCCUAUUUCUUUCUUGCAUUGAGCUCUCACUUAGACGACACCAACAAUGAAGCUGGCGUUAGGUAAUCUCUCUAUCGUCUCUGUCUCUCUCUCGUCCAUGAUAAAUUUGGAUUUGUCUCAGCUCUCCUUUCUUUUGGUCCAACUUCAAAAUAUCAAAAGCAAAAUACAUCUUAGCAUCAAAACCCUAAGCCAUGCCUCACUGCCUGCUAGAGUUUCUUCGCUUCGUGUAUCACACUACCACUCUUCCAAUCCCUCCCUGCUAACUCUUUCUCUCUCUCUCUCACUCGCACUAGUAGGUUCGUCUUUCCUUCUCUCCCUGCUAGGUUGUCUCUUCUUCAGAAUGGAGAUUUAUGAAUGGAGGCUCAAAGAAGUGUAUUGCAUCUAUUCUAAGCCGUGGAGGGGACCUUGUUCUAAUCCAUAGAGCAUUGAUUUCUCUGCUUGCACAGUUAAAUGAACAUGCCAAGCUCUCUAUGCUGAGAAAUGCCAUGUGGACUCUACCAAAUUUUUGCAGGGGCAAGCCACAACCACCUUUUGAGUAGACAAAGCCUACACUCCCAACUCUAGAGCGCCUAAUUCAUUCAAAUGAUGAAGAAGUUCUAACGGAUGCAUGUUGGGCACUUUCAUAUUUGUCUGAUGGCACAAAUGAUAAAAUUCGAGUUGUUAUUGAGGGAGGGCCCAAGGGUUUCUUAUGGUCUUAACUGGGAUCUUGCUGGAAGAGGGGUGAUUGUUAAGGAUAAAGCUUUUUUACAACCUAAGGUCUUUUGAGCUACAACAGAAAGGUGAAACCUUUGCAGACCAAAGUUUAUGAUCCAAAGCGAAGGUCUUGAGUAUGAUGCACGUGCAUAUAAGCAAUUGUUCAGAUGCGAUGAGGAUAAUUUUGUCAAUUUUCUUUUUUUUUAUGAAAAAAAAAUUAUUAAAUGAGUAUAGUGAACAAAGACUACUAUGGACAUUUUGUGUAAAUGUGUAUAAGUUUUAUUUGUAAAAACUCCUUUUAUCAUAUAGGAAUAGGUGAAACUAAUAUUUUUUUUUUUUGUAAUGGCAUUCA